CCAGGGGUCGUAUGUGUGACACUGUGUCUUGUUCCAGGGGCCGUAUGUGUGAUACUCUGUCUUGUUCCAGUGGCAGCCUUUGCCCAGACACCUGAGGGUCUGGGCAAACACUGGACUCCCCUGUGAAUACCGCAACAGCUCUUGUCCUAUUGGAGGGACAAAACUGUAGGAAUACAUGGAAUACUGGAGCAGACUCCUAUGCAAAUUCAAAAGUGUACGUUAUAGCAGAGAAAGUGUUGCGCUGUCCAGCAGGAUCUGACAUGUUUGACACCACUUCCAUCAUAGGAGAGAACGUUUACAAAAUUGCAAAGGUAAGAAAUCUUACCAGUCACUAGGAGUGAGAUGCCGAUUAUAAUUCCAUGAUCUAUGGAACCAGUUACGUGGACAGAUGUUUGUUCUUUUCUCCAUCAAGACAUCAUCCACAUCUACCAUUGUCUUAUGACUGCUGUAUUGCUGUGUCUGCCCCCUACAGGAACUGCAUGGUAAGGCCAGUCAGGAGGUGUGGGAUUCUGUGAUUUUGCGAUUCUGACCCAGCAGUUAACCAGCUCUGGGCCACAGCUUCACCGCAGAAACUAUAAGCGGAGGAGAUCUCAAUUUCAAGGUUAGCAACUCUUCUCCGCUUUUCAUUGUACUAUAUUUAGAUCAUUGUCAUGCAGAUAACCCCUCUUCAAUGUAUUGAAUUGUUCUGAAACGGGGGCUUUUUGAGGGUGACCCAUUUUGGCAAGGAAUUAGAGAUACACUGUUUGGAGCUCCCUCCAAUGAGACACAGGACUGCCACCCCCCCAAACCUGUUCUCUUCAGCACUGGAGAGGUGUGAGCAGGGUUCUUUUUCAGCCUUUUUCCAUUGUAGCCCCAGCGCAGCCUAACACUUUCCAAUGGCUUAAACUGUGGUGUUACCCUAGGGGAAUUGUGUUUCCAAAGCUAGGACUGUGUGUCAGUGUACUGUAACAUGAUGUCACCAUGGAGAUGUGGCCGUGCUGUUCUCUCUGGCCUAGCUGACCUGGCCCCUCCCGUGUCACCCAAACAUUGUGGGCGUCCAGAUGAUCACCACAGGACCUGUGGCCAUUGUGGCUGUCCCUGGAGAAAUGACCACCAUGUCAGGGGAGGCCGUCAAGCACGUGAGAAUCAAAUAUCACACACACACACAUACAUACACACCCACUCAUUAAGGCAAAAUAUUCUGUUUGCAUUUGUUGGUAUUACAUUUGAAUGUGUUAUACGGAUGGCCUUUGUUUGUUGAUAAGGAACUUGGAGGCUCAGCGAACGUUCAGUAAUGCAGAGGUGGUCGUCGCUGGCCUGUGUAGCAUCUACUCAUUACUUUACCACCAAUGAGGAGUACCAGGUGCGAGAGAAGAAGUGAGAUUUUGAGUGGUAUCAGAUCGCUGCUCCAUCACUUACUACAGUUAUUUCUCGAAGAUCCAGCAUUGCAAAGGAGCAUCCACUAUCUCUGCAUAUAUCCAGAAGUUUUGAGGCCAUUGCAGAGGUGAGGACCACAUACUGCACAGGAAACUGGGACAAUGUUUGCACAGAUGCAUCUUGGGAGACGAGGUUUAACUGGGUAAAGAAUGGAGCAGAGAGUAAUGUUACCAUUGAGUGGCACAUCCUCCUGUCAGCCCAGACUUUCUCCUACCGGAUCAGACACUUUGGACACUACAAACAGAGGAAGGGGAUCACAGAUCCCGUGAUUCCAGUGAAUGGGGGUGUGUCAGAGCUCUUCGGAGUCUCCAAAAGAACGUAUUACUAAUAACCGCUGGUCACUGAGUAAGACCAAAUAGGGCACAUAGUAGUGUACACUUCUAGUGACCCACAUUUGAUGAUGUAUUUAUAUUCUCUAUUUCAAUGCAGUUCAAUGUAUGUACAGCAUUGAAGCACUAAAUGUAUUUAUAUUACCUUUACUUAACUAGGCAAGCCAGUUAAGAACAAAUUCUUAUUUUCAAUGAUGGCCUAGGAACAGUGGAUUAACUGCCUGUUCAGGGGCAGAACGACAGAUUUGUACCUUGUCGGCUCGGGGAUAUGAACUUGCAACCUUUCAGUUACUAGUCCAACGCUCUAACCACUAGGCUACUCUGCUGCCCGAGGCGGACCAGUGCUUCAAUACGCAACCGGCCUUUGGGUUGACGGGCAACAAGCCAUUACGCUGAAUGUGCCCAACAGGAUGACGGCGGAAAUAUGUUUUGAAUGUAGGGCAGCUUCAGUGCCAUUCCAUAGCUCAUCUCCCAUGGAAAUUAAAAUCAUUUGUUUAUGAUCAGUUGAGUCACGUUUUGUGUGUGUGUGUGUAAUUAUGUACAGUGCUUAUUUUGAAUAGAAUUAAAUGAUUUAAAUAUUGUGGCACACUUCUUAGUUUUAUGUAGAAGGAAUAAAGUGAAGAAAGCUAGUCUCAAAAUGCAAUUGGUUCAUUCAUCACAGGCAAUUACAGAUUAUGAAACGUUAGAAUUACCAAGCUGCACGACACGUUGUUUCACAAAAGGGUUCCCA